GUUUACUCAGCCUCGGAGGUAGAGAGAAGGUGGGACUGUGGGCCUGAAGGACCAUACAUAGACGAUAUAUCAGUCUAUAAGCAUUUAGUCUACUGUUCGAGGAAAACAGAUAAGGGUGCAGCUUAAGCGAAAAGAAAAAUGUCUUAUUGCCAGUGUCUAACUAAACCAACAACGGAAUGUGUCUCCGAGACCAUCUAUAUUGGAUGGACACACGCGUACUUAAAACAACCCCGCCUGUGUGCAGAGCUCUUGCUGUAUGACAACGCGUUGCAGGAGUUAUUGCACAUAAGCUUCAGAACAACUUUAUGAGUUUUUGUUGCAAAACAACUUGUGUUUAAGUAUAUGAAGACAUAUGAAGGUUAAAACAAUGAAUAUAUAAGUGCAGGAAGUAUUAAGAAGUGAGAAAAUGGAAGAAGAUUGGCACAUUUGCAUUAUCAAGGUUUGCUCAUAUUUUAAGAAAGAAUGAAGACUGUUAAAGAAGAAAGCAUUUUGAACGGUAACUUGAAACCUUAUAUACACUAUUGAAUGUUUUAAAAAAACUUAUUUAGAUGGGUACCUUUUAUUUUCUUGUUGGUCUUAUUUCUCUGAGGGGGAUUUAAUUAAAAAAACAACAACAAACCCUUUUAUUUGGGAAAUAAUUUUAAAUUUAAAAAAAGU